rnacentral:rRNA from 1 species
UACGGAAGGCAGCAGUGGGGAAUAUUGCACAAUGGGCGAAAGCCUGAUGCAGCUAUGCCGCGUGUAUGAAGAAGGCCUUAGGGUUGUAAAGUACUUUCAUCGGGGAGGAAAAACAAAACUAAUAAUUUUAUUUCUUGACGUUACCCGAAAAAGAAGCACCGGCUAACUCCGUGCCAGCAGCCGCGGUAAUACGGAGGGUGCUAGCGUUAAUCAGAAUUACUGGGCGUAAAGAGCACGUAGGUGGUUUUUUUAAGUCAGAUGUGAAAUCCCUGGGCUUAACCUAGGAACUGCAUUUUGAAACUGAAAUACUAGAGUAUCGUAGAGGGAGGUAGAAUUCUAGGUGUAGCGGUGAAAUGCGUAGAUAUCUGGAGGAUACCUGUGGCGAAAGCGGCCUCCUAAACGAAUACUGACACUGAGGUGCGAAAGCGUGGGAGCAACAGGGAUUAGAUACC